AAGUGCGAUCGUAACUUAGGA
rnacentral:siRNA from 1 species